rnacentral:rRNA from 1 species
GAGACCCACGCCAACAGUUGCCAGCAUGUCCUCCGGGAUGGUGGGGACACUGUUGGGACCGCCUCUGCUAAAGAGGAGGAAGGAAUGGGCAACGGUAGGUCAGCAUGCCCCGAAUUAUCCGGGCUACACGCGGGCUACAAUGGUCAGGACAAUGGGUAUCGACACCGAGAGGUGAAGGCAAUCUCUUAAACCUGUCCUUAGUUCGGAUUGUGGGCUGCAUCUCGCCCACAUGAAGCUGGAAUCCGUAGUAAUCGCGUCUCAAAAUGGCGCGGUGAAUAU